UACGUAGGGUGCAAGCGUUGUCCGGAAUUAUUGGGCGUAAAGAGCUCGUAGGCGGUCUGUCGCGUCUGCUGUGAAAACUCGGGGCUUAACCCCGGGCCUGCAGUGGGUACGGGCAGACUAGAGUGCGGUAGGGGAGACUGGAAUUCCUGGUGUAGCGGUGAAAUGCGCAGAUAUCAGGAGGAACACCGGUGGCGAAGGCGGGUCUCUGGGACGGUAUUGACGCUGAGACGCGAAAGCGUGGGGAGCGAACAGG
rnacentral:rRNA from 1 species